GGGGAAUAUUGCACAAUGGGGGAAACCCUGAUGCAGCGACGCCGCGUGGAGGAAGAAGGUCUUCGGAUUGUAAACUCCUGUUGUUGGGGAAGAUAAUGACGGUACCCAACAAGGAAGUGACGGCUAACUACGUGCCAGCAGCCGCGGUAAAACGUAGGUCACAAGCGUUGUCCGGAAUUACUGGGUGUAAAGGGAGCGCAGGCGGGAAGACAAGUUGGAAGUGAAAUCUAUGGGCUCAACCCAUAAACUGCUUUCAAAACUGUUUUUCUUGAGUAGUGCAGAGGUAGGCGGAAUUCCCGGUGUAGCGGUGGAAUGCGUAGAUAUCGGGAGGAACACCAGUGGCGAAGGCGGCCUACUGGGCACCAACUGACGCUGAGGCUCGAAAGUGUGGGUAGCAAACAGGAUUAGAUACCCUGGUAGUCCACACCGUAAACGAUGAUUACUAGGUGUUGGAGGAUUGACCCCUUCAGUGCCGCAGUUAACACAAUAAGUAAUCCACCUGGGGAGUACGACCGCAAGGUUGAAACUCAAAGGAAUUGACGGGGGCCCGCACAAGCAGUGGAGUAUGUGGUUUAAUUCGACGCAACGCGAAGAACCUUACCAAGUCUUGACAUCCCUUGACAGGCAUAGAAAUAUGUUUUCUCUUCGGAGCAAGGAGACAGGUGGUGCAUGGUUGUCGUCAGCUCGUGUCGUGAGAUGUUGGGUUAAGUCCCGCAACGAGCGCAACCCUUAUGGUCAGUUACUACGCAAGAGGACUCUGGCUAGACUGCCGUUGACAAAACGGAGGAAGGUGGGGAUGACGUCAAAUCAUCAUGCCCUUUAUGACUUGGGCUACACACGUACUACAAUGGCGUUAAACAAAGAGAAGCAAGACCGCGAGGUGGAGCAAAACUCAGAAACAACGUCCCAGUUCGGACUGCAGGCUGCAACUCGCCUGCACGAAGUCGGAAUUGCUAGUAAUCGUGGAUCAGCAUGCCACGGUGAAUACGUUCCCG
rnacentral:rRNA from 1 species